rfam:Metarhizium anisopliae BRIP 53293 unplaced genomic scaffold Scaffold_65, whole genome shotgun sequence.
UAUAAGUAUAUAAAGGAACUAUUAUGGAAUUUAAGCUAUGUAUUAAAGAGAAUUAGUUAUAUAAAUAAGAUAAAGAUCUUAUAAGUAUAUAAACUCUAAGAGAAAUCUAAUACUAAACGAAGUGAAUUGAAAUAUCUUAGUAACUUCAGGAAAAGAAAUCAAAAGAGAUUCUAUGAAUAGCGUGAGCGAAAGUAGAGGAGCCUAAAAAGUAGAACGGUAUCAAAACUGUUUAAACAUUGGGGAACCUUCCUCAAAGGCUAAAUAUAAUACAUAAGCGAUAGUGAAAAGUACCAUGAGGGAACAAAAACAAAAAUAGUAGUUUUAUAAGCAGUUCGAUAAAAAGAACGUACCUUUUGCAUAAUGGGUCACCAAGUUAACAUUAGAUGCGAGCUGUAUUAGCAUGCGUAGUCAAACCGAACGUUAAAAUAACGAAUAAGUGUCUAAAGUUAGACCCGAAGCCAGGUGAUUUUACCAUAGUCAGGAUUAUAAAAGUCCGAACGGGUGAUUGUAGCAAAAAUCUCCGAAGAACUGUGGUAGGUGUAGUGAAAGACAACACUGACUUGGAUAGCUGGUUUUCUGCGAAACCUAUAAUAGUAGGCAAUUUAAAUAAACAUCUUAGCAGGUACAGAAUUUAAUCUCAGACAAGGCGUUUUAUACGUUUUAUAUUGUACAAAUUGGGGGACCAUGAAGGUUUUAUCAGUGAGUAUGUAGACUCGGAAUGGCAAAGAUGUAUUUUGAAUGAUCAGACAUAGAAUGAUAAGGUUGUAUGUCGAAAGGGAAACAGCCCAGAACAAGAGUUAAGGUUCCUAAAUUAUUAGUUGAGUGAAAUUAAGAAGGUUUUUAUUAAAGUCGACAAGGAGAUAGGCUUAGAAGCAGCCAUAAUUUUAUGACCUCGUAACAGAGCGCUUGUUAAGUUAUAAAAGCAUCGAAAAUAUAACGGAUCUAAACAAUAUACCGAAACCUUGUCCAUUAUAUAUUAUAAUAUUAUUAUUAUUAUAAUUCAAUGGGGUAGCAGAACGUUGAGCUAAAUUAUGAGUUUUAUUUUUUAAAUAGAAUGAUAACGAUUUAACUCAAGUGAGAAUGGUGACAUGAGUAACUAAAAGAAAAUUUUCCGCCUUAAGCUUAUGGAUAUAUUUAAGUAACGGCCUCUAAGUUUAUAUUAUCUAAAGAUUUAAACGAUGAGAAAAUCUUUUUUACUAAGGACGACAUUUUAGUGUAAAAUGUACUGGAAAAAUAGUAAAUAUAUUUAUAGUUAGCUUAGCUUCUAUAAAUGAAGAAUAACCGUACCUAGAAUCUGAAACAAGUAAGCUAGUAGAGAAUACGAAGGCGUAAAUGAGCUAACAAUCAUAAAGGAACUCGGCAAAUUGACUACCGUAACUUCGGAAUAAGGAGGGCUCAUUAUUCUUGAUUAAUAUCAAGUAAAGAGGAAGAAGCAUGAAAUAAUGUUGUACGACUGUUUAAUUAAAACACAGCACUCUGCUGAAAGAUUAAAAAUCUAAGUAUAGAGUGUGAUAUCUGCCCGGUGCCGGCUGGUUAACAGAGAUAAUUGAAUAUACUACUAUUUGAUGUCGACGGAAACCCCGGUUAAAGGCGGCCUUAACGUGAGGGUCCUAAGGUAGCGAAAUGCCUUGGCCGUUAAAUGCGGUCUUGCAUGAAUGGUGUAACGAUACAACAGCUGUCUCUAUGAUUGACUCAGUGAAAUUGGAAUAGCAGUGCAGAUACUGCUUACCUCUAGUUAGACGAGAAGACCCUAUGCAGCUUUACUGUCACUAAUUAUAGAUUAUGAUAGACAAUUUUCAGAUUAUAAGGUAAUUGAUUUAUGACAAUGAGAAACCUUUAUUUUUCUUUCAUAUGAAUGAAUUGGUUUAGGAGUAUAAGUAGAUUGUAAUUUAUGUGGCUUUACUGAGCCAAUUUGUUAAAUUAUAGUCUGUAUGCUUAUACUAGUAGAUCAGCCUAAUUCAACUUAUUAUAUUUAUUAUAGUAAGUACCCUUUGGUAAGGAACUAUCGCUAGGGGACAGUUUAUGUGGGGCACAGACCCUGUAAAGAGUAAACAGGAGUGUCUAAAAAUUUAUAAAUAUUUUGUUUGCUAUUUUGAAUAGUUUAACUAUUCUUAAUCAUAUACAAUUAAUUAUAUUUGCAUUUAUUGUAAAUAUAGUUAAGAUUAGGUAGGAUUUUCACUAUAUAGAAAUUAGAGAUAAUAAAGAUAUUAUGGAAACUCUUCUAAUAUCUUUUAGCUAUCUUUUAGAUAGUUAUGUUUACAAUAUCUAAAAAGCUCAACGGCUUAAUCCUGCCUUACUGUUUGAUUAUCUACAAAUCUUACAGUUGCGUAAGCAGGGCAUAGGAUCACAAGAUGCAACAAGGAAAGAUCUUGGAUUAUUGGAAAAGCUACGCUAGGGAUGUUUGUCCUUUAAUAUUUUAUAUUGUACAGUUGGCGAAAGCUAUAACUCUUGUUAC